CUGCAUCCACUGAAUAGUUUCCUGUUGUUCUUUGGUUUGCACUAGGAUGCAAGAGGAAAAAAAAAAAUCCCUGUGCUUUCUGUGUGUGGCAGCCCAGAUUGAAUAAGGGAAUACAUAU
rnacentral:snoRNA from 1 species